UACGUAGGGUGCGAGCGUUAAUCGGAAUUACUGGGCGUAAAGCGUGCGCAGGCGGUUUUGUAAGCCAGAUGUGAAAGCCCCGGGCUUAACCUGGGAAUGGCAUUUGGGACUGCAAGGCUUGAGUGCGGCAGAGGAGACUGGAAUUCCUGGUGUAGCAGUGAAAUGCGUAGAUAUCAGGAGGAACACCUGUGGUGUAGACGGCUUACUGGACCAUGACUGACGCUGAGGCACGAAAGCGUGGGGAGCAAACAGG
rnacentral:rRNA from 1 species